AUUGAACGCUGGCGGCAUGCCUUACACAUGCAAGUCGAACGGCAGCACGGGAGCAAUCCUGGUGGCGAGUGGCGAACGGGUGAGUAAAGUAUCGGAACGUGCCCAGUCGUGGGGGAUAACGUAGCGAAAGUUACGCUGAUACCGCAUACGAUCUAUGGAUGAAAGCGGGGGAUCGCAAGACCUCGCGCGAUUGGAGCGGCCGAUAUCAGAUUAGGUAGUUGGUGGGGUAAAGGCUCACCAAGCCGACGAUCUGUAGCUGGUCUGAGAGGACGACCAGCCACACUGGGACUGAGAUACGGCCCAGACUCCUACGGGAGGCAGCAGUGGGGAAUUUUGGACAAUGGGCGAAAGCCUGAUCCAGCCAUGCCGCGUGCAGGAUGAAGGCCUUCGGGUUGUAAACUGCUUUUGUACGGAACGAAAAGGUUUGGGCUAAUAAGCUGAGCUCAUGACGGUACCGUAAGAAUAAGCACCGGCUAACUACGUGCCAGCCGCCGCGGUAA
rnacentral:rRNA from 1 species